rnacentral:tRNA from 1 species
GCGCAUUUAGCUCAGUGGCCAGAGCGUUGGUUUUCGGCGCCAAGGGUCGCAGGUUCGACCCCUGUAAUGCGCU